AGAGUUUGAUCCUGGCUCAGGAUGAACGCUGGCGGCAUGCCUAAUACAUGCAAGUCGAACGGAAGGAAGUAGAAGCUUGCUUCUAUGGAAUUCAGUGGCGAACGGGUGAGUAACACGUAGGUAACCUGCCCAUGUACCCGGGACAACGUCUGGAAACGGAUGCUAAAACCGGAUAGGUAAGAGAUCCGCAUGGAACUCUUAUUAAAGGAGCCUCAAAAGCUCUGAACAUGGAUGGACCCGCGGUGCAUUAGCUAGCUGGUGAGGUAACGGCUCACCAGGGCAACGAUGCAUAGCCGACCUGAGAGGGCGGACGGCCACAUUGGGACUGAGACACGGCCCAAACUCCUACGGGAGGCAGCAGUAGGGAAUUUUCGUCAAUGGGGGGAACCCUGAACGAGCAAUGCCGCGUGAGUGAAGACGGUCUUCGGAUUGUAAAGCUCUGUUGCAGGUGAGAAACGGGCAGGACAGGAAAUGGUCCUGCAGUGAUAUCAGCCUGCCGGAAAGUCACGGCUAACUACGUGCCAGCAGCCGCGGUAAUACGUAGGUGGCGAGCGUUAUCCGGAAUGAUUGGGCGUAAAGGGUGCGUAGGUGGCGCGGUAAGUCUGAAGUAAAAGGCAUCAGCUCAACUGAUGUUGGCUUUGGAAACUGCCGGGCUAGAGUGCAGAAGAGGGCGAUGGAACUCCAUGUGUAGCGGUAAAAUGCGUAGAUAUAUGGAAGAACACCAGUGGCGAAGGCGGUCGCCUGGUCUGCAACUGACACUGAAGCACGAAAGCGUGGGGAGCAAAUAGGAUUAGAUACCCUAGUAGUCCACGCCGUAAACGAUGAGAACUAAGUGUUGGGGGAAUAACUCAGUGCUGCAGUUAACGCAAUAAGUUCUCCGCCUGGGGAGUAUGCACGCAAGUGUGAAACUCAAAGGAAUUGACGGGGGCCCGCACAAGCGGUGGAGUAUGUGGUUUAAUUCGAAGCAACGCGAAGAACCUUACCUGCCCUUGACAUCCCGGUGACCACAGAGUAAUGUCCGUUUUCCUUCGGGACACCGGAGACAGGUGGUGCAUGGUUGUCGUCAGCUCGUGUCGUGAGAUGUUGGGUUAAGUCCCGCAACGAGCGCAACCCCUAUCUUCAGUAGCCAGCGGUAUGGCCGGGCACUCUGGAGAGACUGCCAGGGAUAACCUGGAGGAAGGUGGGGAUGACGUCAAAUCAUCAUGCCCCUUAUGGGCAGGGCUACACACGUGCUACAAUGGCGUAAACAAAGGGAGGCAGAGCCGCGAGGCCGAGCAAAUCCCAAAAAUAACGUCUCAGUUCGGAUUGUAGUCUGCAACUCGACUACAUGAAGCUGGAAUCGCUAGUAAUCGCGAAUCAGAAUGUCGCGGUGAAUACGUUCCCGGGUCUUGUACACACCGCCCGUCACACCAUGGGAGUCAGUAACGCCCGAAGUCAGUGACCCAACCGCAAGGAGGGAGCUGCCGAAGGCGGGACCGAUAACUGGGGUGAAGUCGUAACAAGGUAACC
rnacentral:rRNA from 1 species